rnacentral:rRNA from 1 species
ACCAGACUCCUACGGGAGGCAGCAGUGGGGAAUAUUGCACAAUGGGGGGAACCCUGAUGCAGCGACGCCGCGUGGGUGAAGAAGUAUUUCGGUAUGUAAAGCCCUAUCGGCAGGGAAGAAAUUGGACGGUACCUGACUAAGAAGCCCCGGCUAACUACGUGCCAGCAGCCGCGGUAAUACGUAGGGGGCAAGCGUUAUCCGGAUUCACUGGGUGUAAAGGGAGCGUAGACGGCCAUGCAAGCCUGGAGUGAAAGCCCGGGGCCCAACCCCGGGACUGCUCUGGGAACUGUGCGGCUGGAGUGCGGGAGGGGCAGGCGGAAUUCCUGGUGUAGCGGUGAAAUGCGUAGAUAUCAGGAGGAACACCGGCGGCGAAGGCGGCCUGCUGGACCGCGACUGACGUUGAGGCUCGAAAGCGUGGGGAGCAAACAGGAUUAGAUACCCGCGUA